ACUUAAUGAAAAAAAUUUUGUCAGCUCGACUGCAGGGCUGAGUUGCUUCGACUGGCCUCAUCAUUUUUCACGUGCUAUUUGGAAAGUAAUUUUUCUAAAGAGACUCUAAGGUUCCAUGAUCUCAGUCAACGAACUCAUACGUGCUUAAUUAACGUGUAUAAAUAUUUUUGCUUGGUCCGAUAAAAAAAAACAUCAAAACAAAGAGAGAUUGAAAACUUGAAAACGCUCGACGCUGGCCAGGUUAGUUUCACGGAUUAUAUGUACGUGACUCUAGCCAAAUUGGAUGAAGAAGAAGAAUUCAAAUUUAAGCUAAACAGGGCGGGUUGUUCCAACUUCUAGCUUAUCUGGCGGGUAAAAGCAUUGACUUGUAGACCUUUAGCCUUUAGCUGUCAGAUAGGUUUACCUAUAGAAGUUGGAGCAACCCGUCCUUACAGCUGAAACUGGCGAAACGGUCGAAUCGAGGCGCGUGGAAUAGAAUAGCAUUUUGAAACAUGCGUUUCAUCAAGGCGAAUGAGGAGAACCGAAUCGCAGGAUAUUGAGUUCCUUCGAUUCAACCAUUCUUUUUGCUUUCAUCUGCAGGAUUCAAGGAGAAGUGAUUUAUUAAGCGGAUGGAAGAUGACAGCGCAUCAAGUACGUUCACAUAUAGAGAUUCAACUCUCCCUGAUGUGCAGCAAUGGUGUCAACUAGUUGACGGUUCUCCCUCAAUGUGAGAGCUAUCGCUCUUCUCCUGGACAUACCAUUCAAGAUAUUGAUAUUUACAAGUCUUUGGUAUUCCAACAGGCGUUGACGCUGGGCUGCCUGCGCCGUGGUCAGAGGAAUCGGAGGUGACGCCAAUAUCUGAGGUUGGGCAUCGAGGCGGGACAAUUCUCUUUCCAGCGUCGAUAUCAAGCGGUCGGUAUUAUUCGAGGACCCAGGAACUCUCUUUGUUCUUCCAUUCUCUCGGUGAACAGGAAUCGCUUCUAAGUCACAGAGUAUCGAGAAUCGGAAAAUGGCAGUCCUUGGAACAUUAAAAAUUCUUUUUUCAGUUUUCGUCAUUGUCAUUGUGACAAUUGUCAGAAGCGAAUGUAUGGAGUUCCAAGUUGAACUCGUUGGAGUUCAAUGAAAUUUUGCUAGCUCCACUCGGAACUGAGUUGCUUCGGUUUGCCACAUUAUUUUUCAAUUGCUAUUCGGAAAGCGAUUUUUCUAAAGAUGUUUCCAUGGUCCCAUGAUCUCAGCAGAACUCAGCUUCUCAUUUUUCAAAUUUAUAACCGAAUCCACCGGUACGAAAGUAUUUCGUGAUGGUCAAAAUGAGGAAUUCCAUGAUUGAAUGAAAAAAAAUUGAAAUUUUAUCCGAAUAUUGGGAAUGAAAAAUCUCCAGGAAGGAAAAAACAAAAGUGGAGGAAAGCAAUAAUUGAGCUUGACACCAGUUUCGACUUACAUUGUCACUUUGAAGUUGAGAAUGGACCUGGAUGAUCCCAAAAACGAGAAUCAAGAUCGCAGCGCAGCAACGUUUCUCCAUGAUGAUACGUGAAUCAGGAUUCGAACGAUGUCGCGACAAAUGUGUGGAUCGGCUAUGAAAUUGCGGCUUUUAUACGUUAUUUCAAGAGCCACAAUUAGGCAAAACUUACAGCUUUUUCUGCUAAGGUUUCACUUGAAUCAACAUACAACGUUAUGAAAUUAGUGAAAAUUUCGAAAAUAGUCUGAAAAUUGCUCCAAUGACUUACAGCUUUUCUUUUGCUAAGGUUCCACUUGAAUCAACAUACAAUGUCAUGAAAUUAGUAAAAAAUUCGGAAAUAGUCUAAAAAUUGCUCCAAUGACGUCCACAAUUUCUUAUACAAUUAUUCGCUCUCCUAUUCGAUUUUUUAAAUAUCAUUCAGCACGUUUUUUUCGCUAAAAGUCUUUUUUAUUCACACUUCAAAUAUCUCCAGAAUUUCUACUGUGAUCUUAACCUUUGCAGGACGAAUCUGGUCGAAAUAACGACCACUAGUUCGGUCGGGUACUCCACUUGGAAAAUUCAUCAGUACUAUGCACAAAUUUAGUGUAAAAAAAAAAUUCGAUUUUAACGUAAAAAUCCCCGUCCUUAAAAGGUUAAAGUCGUUCAUGAAGUAUUCAAAGUCCAACAGUUAGUUGAAGUUUAUUUAAAGAUUUUUCAGAACAAAAUACACAACAAAAUUCUUAUUGCCGAUACUGUCGCGAUUUUUUAACUCCAAAUUCGGUUGUGCAUCUGUUUUUAGUCAAAAACAAGUAAAAAAACUGUUGCAGUGUGCCUAAAACUUUUUGUCGAGGAUCCAAUUCCCGAAAAACUCACUUUUUUUUAUCAAACUCUUCACCAUUUCACCCCACGUCGAAGGAACUUUGAAUUUCCUUCCUAACAUUUAAGUACUGAUACGAUAAACACGUCCCAAGCUCAUUAUAAUAUUAUUCUAAUCCCCAAAAAAGUAAAUUGAAAAACAGACUGACGAACCAGCUUCCUGGUACCACGAAAAAAUUGUUGAAUAAACUCAACACCUUAUUUCCCAUAAAUUUCCCAUAAAAUUGUAUUAUCAUCGCAGUCUCAUAUGAAAAUAGACACAAAUCAGUCAUUUUUAAUGCACUAUGGAAGCCCUUUCGAGUGCGAGCAUAUUCAACAAUUUUUCCACAAGCUUUUACCAAGAUUCUUUAGGAAUAAUAAAUUAGUAAGUUUCCAUGAAUCGAAACGCUUCUACUUUUAUUCUUCGCAAGUUCGCCAUAAAACGAUCGUACCAUUACGAUGACAUUGAAUCAAAUACAAAGAUAAAA